GGGUUGUGAGGUUAAGCGACUAAGCGUACACGGUGGAUGCCCUGGCAGUCAGAGGCGAUGAAGGGCGUGCUAAUCUGCGAUAAGCGCCGGUAAGGUGAUAUGAACCGUUAUAACCGGCGAUACCCGAAUGGGGAAACCCAGUGUGACUCGUCACACUAUCAUUAACUGAAUCCAUAGGUUAAUGAGGCGAACCGGGGGAACUGAAACAUCUAAGUACCCCGAGGAAAAGAAAUCAACCGAGAUUCCCCCAGUAGCGGCGAGCGAACGGGGAGGAGCCCAGAGCCUGAAUCAGCAUGUGUGUUAGUGGAAGCGUCUGGAAAGGCGCGCGAUACAGGGUGACAGCCCCGUACACAAAAGCGCAUGUGCUGUGAGCUCGAUGAGUAGGGCGGGACACGUGGUAUCCUGUCUGAAUAUGGGGGGACCAUCCUCCAAGGCUAAAUACUCCUGACUGACCGAUAGUGAACCAGUACCGUGAGGGAAAGGCGAAAAGAACCCCGGCGAGGGGAGUGAAAAAGAACCUGAAACCGUGUACGUACAAGCAGUGGGAGCCCCACCACCAAAGCAUUUGCUGUACCGCGUUGACGGAGCGAAGCGACGUCA
rnacentral:rRNA from 1 species